rnacentral:rRNA from 1 species
GACGAACGCUGGCGGCGUGCCUAAUACAUGCAAGUAGAACGCACAGUUUAUACCGUAGCUUGCUACACCAUAAACUGUGAGUUGCGAACGGGUGAGUAACGCGUAGGUAACCUGCCCGGUAGCGGGGGAUAACUAUUGGAAACGAUAGCUAAUACCGCAUAAUAUUAAUUAUUGCAUGAUAAUUGAUUGAAAGAUGCAAUUGCAUCACUACCAGAUGGGCCUGCGUUGUAUUAGCUAGUAGGUGAGGUAACGGCUCACCUAGGCGACGAUACAUAGCCGAACUGAGAGGGUGAUCGGCAACACUGGGACUGAGACACGGCCCAGACUCCUGAGGGAGGCAGCAGUAGGGAAUCUUCGGCAAUGGACGGAAGUCUGACCGAGCAACGCCGCGUGAGUGAGGCAGGUUUUCGGAUCGUAAAGCUCGGUUGUAAGAGAAGAACGGGUGUGAGAGUGGAAAGUUCACACUAUGACGGUAUCUUACCAGAAAGGGACGGCUAACUACGUG